rnacentral:rRNA from 1 species
AGCAGCCGCGGUAAUUCCAGCUCCAAUAGCGUAUAUUAAAGUUGUUGCAGUUAAAAAGCUCGUAGUUGAAUUUCGGGGUUAGUAGGUUGGUCGUGCCACUGGUAUGCACUGGUCGCACUGAUUCCUCCUUCCUGAUGAACCGUAAUGCCAUUAAUUUGGUGUUGCGGGGAAUCUGGACUGUUACUUUGAAAAAUUAGAGUGUUUAAAGCAGGCUAACGCUUGAAUACAUUAGCAUGGAAUAAUGAAAUAGGACGAUCGAUCCUAUUUUGUUGGUUUCUAGGAUUGACGUAAUGAUUAAUAGGGAUAGUUGGGGGCAUUAGUAUUCAAUUGUCAGAGGUGAAAUUCUUGGAUUUAUUGAAGACUAACUACUGCGAAAGCAUUUGCCAAGGAUGUUUUCAUUAAUCAAGAACGAAAGUUAGGGGAUCGAAGACGAUCAGAUACCGUCGUAGU